CAAGUCGAACGAUUAAAGCUCCCUUCGGGGAGUGCAUAAAGUGGCGCACGGGUGAGUAACACGUAAGUAAUCUACCCUCGGGUGGGGAAUAACAUCGGGAAACCGAUGCUAAUACCGCAUAAUGCAGCGGCACCGCAAGGUGACAGUUGUUAAAGAUUUAUUGCCUGGGGAGGAGCUUGCGGCAGAUUAGCUUGUUGGUAAGGUAACGGCUUACCAAGGCGACGAUCUGUAUCCGGUCUAAGAGGACGGUCGGACACACUGACACUGAAUAACGGGUCAGACUCCUACGGGAGGCAGCAGUCGGGAAUUUUGGGCAAUGGGGGAAACCCUGACCCAGCAACGCCGCGUGAAGGAUGAAGUAUUUCGGUAUGUAAACUUCGAAAGAAUAGGAAGAAUUAAUGACGGUACUAUUUAUAAGGUCCGGCUAACUACGUGCCAGCAGCCGCGGUAAUACGUAGGGACCAAGCGUUGUUCGGAUUUACUGGGCGUAAAGGGCGCGUAGGCGGCGCGGUAAGUCACUUGUGAAAUCUCUGAGCUUAACUCAGAACGGCCAAGUGAUACUGCAGUGCUAGAGUGUGGAAGGGGCAAUCGGAAUUCUUGGUGUAGCGGUGAAAUGCGUAGAUAUCAAGAGGAACACCUGAGGUGAAGACGGGUUGCUGGGCCAACACUGACGCUGAGGCGCGAAAGCCAGGGGAGCAAACGGGAUUAGAUACCCCGGUAGUCCUGGCCCUAAACGAUGAAUACUUGGUGUCUGGAGUUUUAAUGCUCCGGGUGCCGUCGCUAACGUUUUUAGUAUUCCGCCUGGGGAGUACGCUC
rnacentral:rRNA from 1 species